CUUACAUCUCAACAGAUUUGAUGGCUUCUUCAUCAACCUUUCUACUACCCACUCCACUUCAGGCUCAAACUCCAGAGGAUAUUGUUCCAAUCUCAUGGGUGCAAAAUGCCAUCGUCAAAGGGGCAGUUUGUUUAGACGGGACUCCGUCUGCAUAUUUUUAUGAACAAGGCCAAGGGGAUGGAGCUAAUAACUGGCUCGUUUUCUUACAGGGUGGAGGUUGGUGCGUGAAUCAAACGGAUUGCUUUAAUCGUGCUAAAUAUGGCAAAAGUUCUGGUUCAACCAAGAAUAUAAGUCUGACUUUUACAUUUGGAGAUUUUCUCUCCAAUAAUCCAACAAAUAAUCCAGAUUUUUACAAUUGGAACAGAGUCUAUGUUCCGUAUUGUGACUGAUCGUCAUUCACCGGCGAUGUCGAAG